GGUCAUCGUACGUGUAAACGCAAACAACAGUUAUGGAGUGUGUUCUUUUCCUGCGCGUUGAUCUACUUCGGGUCAGCUUGGCGAAUGUUGACUGUCGUGCGCGGCUAAUUUGAGCGACUACACACGACCUCGGAGGAGGAGAGAAUAAUGGAGGAGGACUUGGAAAACCUCUUGCGAUCAAGAAAUGUCGCUCAGGUGGACAUUACGCGCAUGAAAAGCGACAAGGUUGACAUGGAGGUAAUUUCUCUGAUAACUGAAGAGCAAAUGGGCAAAUAUAUCACUUCCUAUGGUGAUCGAAUAGCUGUCCUUUGCUUUUGUCAACAAAAAAUGUCCAGGGGUGUUGAAAUGCUUCUCCAAAGAUUGAGAGACAAAAUAAGAUCGAGGAAAAAAGGUGUACUGGGUAGAUCUCCAAGUGUGCUCCAAAACCUUGAUGAGAGAAUGGCAAGAUUUAAAAAUUUUAUUGGCUCUGUUGUUCAUUUGCACUUUUGAGAUGUAAAACAUCUGGCAUAGUUAACCACGUGAAGGGCAGUCUGCAAUUGUUUUCCAUUUAUGUAUUGUACAUUAGGGGCGGCCCGGUAGUCCAGUGGUUAGCACGUCGGCUUCACAGUGCAGAGGUACCGGGUUCAAUUCCAGCUCCGGCCUCCCAGUGUGGAGCUUGCAUGUUCUCCCCGGGCCUGCGUGGGUUUUCUCCGGGUGCUCCGGUUUCCUCCCACAUUCCAAAAAUAUGCAUGGCAGGCUGAUUGAACACUCUAAAUUGUCCCUAGGCGUGAGUGUGAGCGUGGAUUGUUGUUCGUCUCUGUGUGCCCUGCGAUUGGCUGGCAACCGAUUCAGGGUGUCCCCCGCCUACUGCCCAGAGACGGCUGGGAUGGGCUCCAGCACCCCCCGCGAACCUAGUGAGGAUCAAGCGGUACGGAAGAUGAAUGAAUGAAUGUAUUGUACAUUAUUAAAAUGCAAUCGAUUCUGUGUUAGUUCUUCAUUCCUUCCAUUUUCUGCACCACUUAUUCUCAUGAUGGUUUCAGGCAAGAUGGGAGUUUUCAGUUUUACCCAAAGGUCUGAAGUUGUGCAUUCCGUUUAAAAUGUUGAGAUUAAUGUUUGUAAGAUUUUGUCAAUGUGAAUAAAAUUUUUUCCAAAUCAUUCUUAACAGUUUUUUUAAACACAAGAAACCACCUGCUGACGAAAGUGAGGAGUGACAAUUACGCAGUCAUCAUUUACAUGCAGAAAACUUGGCGGACAGAGGACGUAAUGAAGGAAACACUGCCCAUCCAACGGGAGACAUUAAAUGUUCUGAAGUGGAAGGCACAAACAUUUCCUUCACCAUCAAGGAAGAGAGUCCGGAUGAGGUUCUGUGGAUCGGCGAUCCCGCUGGCUCUGUAGCGAGUUCAUCUUUCCAGUACCCAAAUGUUUCCGAGAGGUUUGAGGAGGACCUUCAGAAGACCGGUUCAGACUUUGGUGACUCGUUCACGUUGCGUGAGCACAGCACCGAGGUAAGCGGGCUCAACAUGCUGGUCAAGACGGAGGAGGAAUCGGCGUCGGGCGGCUUUAGCCGGGACGAAUGCCAGCUGGGCGCUGCCAAGCAGAACCAACUCGCCGACGUGUCUCUGGAUGAGCGGGACCACCAGCUUUGGUCAUCCAUCAUCAACGGGGACGACAUUGACUCUGCUUUCCCGGACUUUUCUAGCGUGGUGGACGAGUACUCUGAUACAUUUCCCGAACCGCCUCGUAAGUUGGGAGGCGCCCCGCAGCCGGCCUGUAACGGUGUUUAUGACGGCGAGGAGUAGUAGCAGUGCAGUAAGCGCUUCACGCAGCAGAGCAGCCUGCGCGUGCACCAGCGCACGCACAGCGGCGAGCGGCCGUACAACUGCACCGAAUGCGGUAAGACCUUCAUCCUCAUGCACCACCUCAAGCGACACUGCGUCAUCCACAUGUACAGCUGAUGGACUUUGCCGGCUUAGCUUAGUACGGACGUUGUACAGACUUUUUUUUUUAAUCUUUGCAAGAAAAAGGAUUGUGGUCUGCCUGGUUUAAAGACCCAAAUUGGACUGGACUGUGUUUCUACCAAGCGCAUAGUUCUGAUCCACGCAAGUCGCAGCUUUACCCACAGAGGCCAUACAAAUGCGCUGAGUGUGACUUUGUCAGACCUUGGACCCGUGCAAGGAGAAGGUCUACCAAGAGGGGCAUCCACAAGUCCGGAAACUGUUUCAUGGGGUGGCGGUGGCUGCAUGACAAGUCGCUUUCAGCCCUGCUGGAUGGGGGGUUGUGUUUGUGAGGAGGGUAGCAGGUAUUGAUUUUUCGUCAGGGUUCACUCAAGAUCAUAAACACGUUUGCCCGUUUUAAUGGUCGUAAUGUUUUUCUUGUCUCCUCGAAUUUUUCAAAAUGCCCUUCGAAAUUUUCAAAGUGCCCCUUAAAGUAAACCUGUACCUCGUAAACCUUCGCCGCUCAGUGGAAUAUGGGUUUUUAAGUUCAAUUCUGCCUCUGAAUUGUUAAAUGUGAGUUUGUGGGUAAGCAUUUAAUUUUGAGGCCAAUGUCACACAGUUUCAACGCAUUCAUUCACACAAAGGUUUCAGCCAUUCACAUGGCCAAAAGGCCGUCCCUCCGUCCGCAAGGAGGGAAUGUUGCUCCCUCCAUUGAACUGGAACGAGUCAUCCCCCGUUCUUCGUUUAAAAAUUGCAAAACAUGCAAGACGUCAGGCAGCCAAAGCAGAAGAAAAAUGUCCUCAGGCAAAGCAGCCUUGAGGGAAACAACUCACGGUUGUACUUUGUUUCCCAACUUUAGUUA